rnacentral:rRNA from 1 species
GACGAACGCUGGCGGCGUGCUUAACACAUGCAAGUCGAACGGAAGGGCCCUGCUUUUGUGGGGUGCUCGAGUGGCGAACGGGUGAGUAACACGUGAGUAACCUGCCCUUGACUUUGGGAUAACUCCAGGAAACUGGGGCUAAUACCGGAUAGGAGCUCCUGCUGCAUGGUGGGGGUUGGAAAGUUUCGGCGGUUGGGGAUGGACUCGCGGCUUAUCAGCUUGUUGGUGGGGUAGUGGCUUACCAAGGCUUUGACGGGUAGCCGGCCUGAGAGGGUGACCGGCCACAUUGGGACUGAGAUACGGCCCAGACUCCUACGGGAGGCAGCAGUGGGGAAUAUUGCACAAUGGGCGGAAGCCUGAUGCAGCAACGCCGCGUGCGGGAUGACGGCCUUCGGGUUGUAAACCGCUUUCGCCUGUGACGAAGCGUGAGUGACGGUAAUGGGUAAAGAAGCACCGGCUAACUACGUG